rnacentral:rRNA from 1 species
CGGGACGGGUGAGUAACGCGUGGAUAACCUGCCUCACACUGGGGGAUAACAGUUAGAAAUGACUGCUAAUACCGCAUAAGCGCACAGUACCGCAUGGUACAGUGUGAAAAACUCCGGUGGUGUGAGAUGGAUCCGCGUCUGAUUAGCCAGUUGGCGGGUAACGGCCCACCAAAGCGACGAUCAGUAGCCGACCCGAGAGGGUGACCGGCCACAUUGGGACUGAGACACGGCCCAA